UUGGGUGGCUAAAACUUUGGUUUUCUCGAUCUUGUAAGGAAACCUGAGAAUGUCUGUCUUCCUUGCAAGCUACAAAGACCCCACCCACACCACCAGCCAUAUCAGAGCUGAGACUCAGUUUCCUCACCUGUGAAAUGGGGACGGCUGUUGCUUUUGGGUUCAGCAUCCCUUCCUUGGGGCGAUAACUUUUAUCUGACACUUUGCCUGCCAAUCCUGUACCCCACCUCCGGGGUGACCACAUCAUCAGGCUGCCCAGACAGACUCCAUUGCGGGGAUUUGCCUCUUGUGUAGAGACACCUCUGCGGCAGGGGGCAGGGGUUGGAACCCUUGAGAGAGCUCCUGGGUCCCUCUGGCUGGGAUCUUCUGAGCUGUUCUGGUUCCUGUUUCCUAAGGCCUGUUGAUUGAGCUCUUUGGUUCUGGGACUUUCCAAAUUGCCUUUGCAGAUCCCCUGUUCUUUUUUUUAAAGUAAUAAUGCUAACUGGACACUCAUGUUACAGGGUUGUUUUGAAGUGAAAUAAGCGACUUCUAGACAGCUCCUUCCUGCCCCUGGUCAUUCCCUACCCCUGCACUCUUAUGCUCUACCUGACCUAACAUCCUUGGGCUCAGUGUACCUGAAUUAUCCCAAUGUUAUCCUCUUUUGAAAGAAGAUUAUAAACCUAAACCAUCCCCCAAUUUACCGUGGCCUUUACCAAGUCCUUGCCAAAUGCCUUUUCACACUUGUUUGUCUUUCUGCAUAAUAUGAGGUCUGAGUCAAACAGGGCUCCUCUCUGCAGUACCAUAAUACUCCCUGUAGGUGGCAGCACAUGACUGCAGAUGUUCUGAAAUGUCCGAAGAGCCGCCUGGAGAGAGGGCGUGUGAGAUGGUGGGGUAGAGCAUUUACUAGUCAUGGGGAAAGGAGGAUGCAGGAGAGGGGAGGAAGGAAAGAGGGCACCGCUCGCUCUGAAGCAACAGAGAGUUAGUUUGAGGUUUGGAAGGCAGGUGCACCCAUCCGUCCAGUAAAUGUUUUUGAGCCCCUGUGCUGGGCCCUGGAGAUGCUGCAGUGAGCCAGACAGACACAGACAGCUCCUCUGCUCACUGACCUUGCACCUGACUUAGAGCCAUCCUUUGUUUUCAACAGCUAUUACAUAGCACCCCCUUCUGGGCUUGUUUCCCCAUCUGCAAAAUGGGAUAAGAACCUGAAGGCUUAAGUGCUGGCACCCAGUCUGUGCUUCUUCCCUUUCCCUCUGCCCCACCCCCCUCCACAGGAACGGAAACACUGCUGAACCCUGUGUUCAUCCACGUGGGGACUCAAUGUCUUCUCUCUAUCCGAGGGAAGCACUGGCGUCUGCUAGUUCCUCUGCAAAGUCUGGUUAAGCCUGGAAAUUGAAGGAAUUCCCCAGGCUGGUGAGAAACGUCAUGAACCUCAGAAGUUUGAAUUUGAUGAGGCCUCUGAGGCAGGCUGGCUUCUGGACGGAGCAUCCCAACGACAAUAUUGCUUUGCUUCUCUUCUCAGUUAAGUGACAAGAUCUCUGCCUGCAGGUUCUGGAGCCUGUUAGGAACCCUCUUUCAACAAGGCAGAGUGAACAGAGAUGAAUCCACAAUUUGCAAAGGAAGCAGCGAUCUGCAGAGUGGGGUUGGAAGUCACCAUAUAAGUGUGAUAUGCUCCAGAAAAAGGUCUUGAAAUUCAGUUGAAGCAGGUCAGAGCCCAAAGCUAUUCAAAAUGGGGCCCUCCCUCAGGAGCCACCAGGGUACAAGAGGAAGAGAUUAGAUGCCAGAAGAAAACCAAAACUCCAACACAGCAAGAAGGUCCAUCACAGCCAUCAUCACUAUUGUCAUCACCACCAUCAGCAGCAACUAGAGUGCUCUUUCUUUAAAAAGCACGGGCUCUAGGCACGCGGGCUUCAGUAGUUGUGGCACACGGGCUUAGUUGCUCUGCGGCGCGUGGGAUCUUCCUGCACCAGGGCUUGAACCCAUGUCCCCUGCAUUGGCAGGCAGACUCCCAACCACUGUGCCACCAGGGACCAAUUUAUUCCUUGUUGUUGUUCAUGAACUUGGCCAUUCCCUGGGUCUUUUCCACUUGGCCAACACUGAAGCUUUGAUGUAUCCAGUCUACAACGCAUUCACAGACCUGGCUCAGUUCCACCUUUCUCAAGAUGAUGUGAAUGGCACUCCGCCUCUGUAUGACAGGGAUAAAGAUAACGGACACAACUGAUGGCUGGAGUGCUGCCAGGUGAACUAGGCAAAUCACACUGCCUGGAUGCUCAUAGAUUUUCCAUCUGUAAGAUGAGGAUGAGAAAGCGAGAAUGCAGUGUUGACCACAUCAGCUGCAGCUGGCCUGGUGCUAGCAGCUGUGCCGUGGUACCCCCACUGAAGUGAUUUCACAGGACAGCCACAUGGGAAGAAUUCACAGUGACUGUGAUGAAACAGAAGUAAGAGCACUCUGCAAUCGCGUCUGAGCACGAAAAAAGAACUAAAGUUGGCUUGCACAAAUACUGACCAGGCCAUCAUGACGACAAGCAGAUAAGGAGAGUGAAUCAAGGACCAGGUGAAAGUAGGAAAGAGAAGAUGAAUCCAAGAGCGAGGUUCGGGGAUGGACGCAUGACUUCAUCCAGCCGCAGAGAGCCAUACUGGCACUUUUGAAGGAACUAUUGGAGAGGAGAUUUUCUCAUCGUGUCUGGGGCUACUGAUCUAGUUACAACAUAAGCCUGGACUGGCUGACCGCCAUCUUGUUGCUGCAUGGAGAUGGCCCACCUAAGGAUGGAAACAGCACCGUGGAAAUGAGACCUGAGAUUUGGGACAAGACAGCCUGCAUCGAGCCAUGAGUGAAGCCCAGUGACAUGUGGACUCCCUAGAGCUGUAAACCAACAAAUUUAUCAUAUCAUUGUUAUUUUGCUUAUGCCAGUUUUAUUUCUGUCACUUGCAACUACAAGUCUCGCCUAAGACAAUCUCUCUACCCUCUAUGCUUGACUGUCUCUAGACAGGAUCCUGGCCAGUAUUGAGACAUUUAACCAUAGGCAUGUUUAUGGGCAUUCCCUGCCAAUCCCCGAGGAUAUACAAAGUCUAGGGAACUCAUGUUGUGACUUAGAAUGAGGAGGGGCUUGGACCUCAGUCCUUGGGGGCCACCAGAGUUACUGAUGCUCUUUCUGGUCCAUGAUAUCACUGCACUUAUCCCACUUUGCCCCUCAGCCUUUGUCUUCUCCAAGUACCCGAGGAUGCUCCUCUUCAGUACUGUAUUUUCUUCUAGCCAGAGUUUUUGCCAGUGCUGUCAAAGUCUCAGCACCUUGUCCAACCUCCCUGGUAUCCCAUAGGGAUCUAUGUUCAAGCAGGAUACUAGUUCUGUCACUUGUGGAAAACUCAAACCUUCAUACCCUUCCUGUUACAGAGAAGGCGGUGCUUAACCUACCUCCUCACCACCAGUCCCCACCCUAUCAGCCUAUUUUUCCAUCCUGUCAAUGAGCUUCCACCUCCUAAACAAAAUGAGGGUGAGGGUUACCUUCUGGAUGUCUCAUAAUUUAUGUUUUUUGCCCUUUGGCUGAGAUGCUAGUUGUCUCCAUCGAGUUUCUCCUUCUUUCAUGCCAGUGGAAUUUUUAGCUGUAUAAGUAGGUGCCCAGAGUAAGGCUGACAUUUACCAGCCUGCCUUGCACCUGGGGGUAGCUGUACAGCUAAGUUCUGGCCAAAGGGAUCUAGGGAGAAAAGGGGGGUAGAACCUUCUGAGAGCCUUCUUCAAGAGAUAAUUCAUAGCUGCCAUUUGUCCCUUCUUCUUCUUUUUCCAUCUUCUUGUCCUGCUGCCUGGAAUUUAGGUGGUGCCAUCUUGCACCAAGAGCAUGAUGGUCAUAUUUUAAAAGAUGUUAGAGCAGUGAGUUGGGAGGGGACUGAGACUUCAAUUAUAAAAGAUGCACAGAGGAGGAAACCCCCUCUUCUUUGGCUUCAUGUCCAGAUGAUUGAUGGUGCUUCCAUCUUGUGACCAUCAAGGGGCACGCUCAAGAUCAAGGCAACCACUGAGCAUGACAGAAAUGAAAGAAGAAGAGAGCUGGGUCCCCGAUGACAUCCCUCCUCUGGACCCUCCUACCUCCAGACUUUUUGCUGUGUAAAAUGAGAUCUUUUGCCCAUUGUUUAAGCCACUUUUAUUUGGAUAUUUUAUGAUAUAAAGUCACCCUAACUGGUGGGACAUGAGGGAGCACAGCACCAGAACACCAAGGCUUGGUGACUUGUGCUUAAGAUGAGGCAAGGAAACUCCCCUUGAUCUUCUGAGCAUCCUUCAGCAAUGAGAACAAAACACAAACGGAUAUCACAGUAAAUUAUCCCCCAUAUGUAAAAAGCACAGCAUGGAGCCUGACAUAUUUAAGCAGCCAGUAAAAGGUAGCUAUUUUUCUUUUUCUUAUUAGCAUAAUGCCUCAAUAAAUGUUAGUUUCCGAUCCUAUCUCCUUGAAUGUCUCUCCCUCUGCUGCUAAAUUCCCCAGUAACUUUACAUUUAUCUCCCUUCUCCCCUAUUAAACCUGACUCUUGAAAAGACUGUCAACUCACUCCCAUUGAGGUGUCAGUGAUAGAUAAGACUUAAUGUAUGACCUCAUUCCCCAAACACUACUGGCU